GACAGAGGGUGCAAACGUUGUUCGGAAUUACUGGGCGUAAAAGCGCGUGUAGGCGGCCCUGUAAGUCGGGUGUGAAAUCCCACGGCUCAACCGUGGAAGUGCAUUCGAAACUACAGGGCUAGAGUUCUGGAGAGGAAGGUGGAAUGCUUGGUGUAGAGGUGAAAUUCGUAGAUAUCAAGCGGAACACCGGUGGCGAAGGCGGCCUUCUGGACAGUAACUGACGCUGAGACGCGAAAGCGUGGGGAGCAAACAGG
rnacentral:rRNA from 1 species